rnacentral:lncRNA from 1 species
UAGCAUUGACAGCCACAUUGUGGAUUGAAAUGGAUCUUCCUUAAAAAGAGUAUCAUUUUUCCUGUGGGCUAUUAUUCUUUGUCAGGCAAAAGAACAAGAAGGCCCCGUCAUUUUUGUCAGCAGUUGUUGCAGAACAGGGAUAACAUUGCAGGCUGCCUCUGUAGAAAUCAAAGAGGUAAAGUGCAGUACCCAAAGCUGUCCAUAUGUUUAUGGACCAUCAUGGGCUUCAUAAUUUUAACAACGCCAAGAGAGAGAGAGAGAGGGGAUGCCCUUUUAAUUGUGUUUGAUUUGUUACUGAAGAUGGAUCUUUUUGACUCAGAAUAUGGACGCUAUAAAUAAUUGAGAUGCUCGUGUGCCGCAGUGGUGGUGGGAUCAUGCCAUAAUUGAGCGCCCAUGUGAACUAUGGACAGCCACCGGCAGGACACUUUCCAGCUUCCACGCUUUGGACUCUUGUGAAAGCAAUGUGUAGAAGGACUGCUGUGUGGUAAGCCAGUCUUAUCUUUUGACGAUUGGGAAUUCUCAUGUUGGACUCCCAUCUCAUCCGAGUCAUUGCUGCCAUAAGAAGACAUUAAUUAUUUCUAGGCUUACAAAAGAAAAAUUCUUUUUGUGUUUCUUCAGCUCUAAAAUUCUCAAAGUACAUAAAAUUUGCUUAUACUUUGAAAUUAAUUAUCUUCAGGUUUCUUGAAGAAAUUAAUUAUUUCUAGGCUUACAAAAGAACAUUUCCUUUUGAGUUUCUUCAGCUCUAAAAUUCUCAAAGUACAUAAAAUUUGCUUAUGCUUUGUUGCUCCAAUUGUGAUAGAAAGAAUGAAUCACAUUGUAAUAAACACCAUGGAAACUGAUACAGCGUUCACCACCCACGUACGGUCAUCAUGCAUACACUACACUCUCCCCCUCCACCAUGCAAAAGAAGGAAGACCGAACGUGAUGAGUCACGGCAGGGAAGGUGAUGAACACGUCGCUCAGCAGAGGAGAUAACCGAAGGCCAGGGCGGCCACCGACGCCAGGGCCGCGGCAGCGGUGGACGACGUGGGGGUGCCGGAGGUGGGGCUGGGGGCGGGUGCCUGCGCCGCCGCGGCCUUCUGCACCAUGGACGCGGCCAUCACGACGGCCAUCAUGGCCAUGGCGAACAACUUGAGCUUGAGAGCUGCCUCCAUUGCUAGUAGCACUUUAAGGCACAACUACCGAGCACAGAGGAAUGGAGGGAGGAGAUGUAGAGAGGAGGCAAUGCAGUUCGGGCCGUGGAAGGAGGGGGAGGGAGAGGAGGGUUUUUGUAAGGAGACUACCAAGCUUGGGUCUGGGACAUGACAGGCUGUUUUCGCUUGUGUCUUCUUCCUCCUCCUCCUCCUCCUCCAUGUGUUUUGUUAGUUGGAACGUCUUAACAUACACGCUGUCGGAAGAGAUUUCCUUGUUUGUGUUCUCUUCCUUCUUUCUUUGUUCGAGGAAGAUGGGUUGUCCAUAGGUUGGUGCCAAAAUCUAGCUGGAAUGACAAUUGCAUGAUCCAAACUUUAGCUGUGCCCAAUCUGUCAAGAGCAACCACCGAUCUUUGAUUGUUUGUUCUUCUUUCUUCUUUAGCUGCUUCACUGUCUUCAAAGAAUUCCAUCAGAAGCUGGAGGAAGACUUUGUCAAUGGAACUCGGUUUCUGGUCACAUUUCUUCUGGAUGAAUUUUGGGAUGCAUGAUCACUCUCGAUAAUAAUUUUAAUGGUGUAAUUCUAUUAGAUUACUUGUUUUUUUAUUUCUUUUCAUCACAG